rnacentral:rRNA from 1 species
UUGGAGGGCAAGUCUGGUGCCAGCAGCCGCGGUAAUUCCAGCUCCAAUAGCGUAUAUUAAAGUUGUUGCAGUUAAAAAGCUCGUAGUUGAAUUUCGGGGUUAGUAGGUUGGUCAUGCCUCUGGUAUGUACUGGUCUCACUGAUUCCUCCUUCCUGAUGAGCCGUAAUGCCAUUAAUUUGGUGUUGCGGGGAAUUUGGACUGUUACUUUGAAAAAAUUAGAGUGUUUAAAGCAAGCUAACGCUUGAAUACAUUAGCAUGGAAUAAUGAAAUAGGACGUUCGAUCCUAUUUUGUUGGUUUCUAGGAUUGACGUAAUGAUUAAUAGGGAUAGUUGGGGGCAUUAGUAUUCAAUUGUCAGAGGUGAAAUUCUUGGAUUUAUUGAAGACUAACUACUGCGAAAGCAUUUGCCAAGGAUGUUUUCAUUAAUCAAGAACGAAAGUUAGGGGAUCGAAGACGAUCAGAUACUGUCGUAGUCUUAACCAUAAACUAUGCCGACUAGGGAUCGGAUGAUGUUAAUUUUAUAAUGACUCAUUCGGCGCCUUACGGGAAAC